rnacentral:rRNA from 1 species
UACGGAGGAUCCAAGCGUUUAUCCGGAAUCAUUGGGUUUAAAGGGUCCGUAGGCGGUUUAAUAAGUCAGUGGUGAAAGCCCAUCGCUCAACGGUGGAACGGCCAUUGAUACUGUUAGACUUGAAUUAUUAGGAAGUAACUAGAAUAUGUAGUGUAGCGGUGAAAUGCUUAGAGAUUACAUGGAAUACCAAUUGCGAAGGCAGGUUACUACUAAUUGAUUGACGCUGAUGGACGAAAGCGUGGGUAGCGAACAGG